UAGGGAAUCUUCGGCAAUGGACGGAAGUCUGACCGAGCAACGCCGCGUGAGUGAAGAAGGUUUUCGGAUCGUAAAGCUCUGUUGUAAGAGAAGAACGAGUGUGAGAGUGGAAAGUUCACACUGUGACGGUAUCUUACCAGAAAGGGACGGCUAACUACGUGCCAGCAGCCGCGGUAAUACGUAGGUCCCGAGCGUUGUCCGGAUUUAUUGGGCGUAAAGCGAGCGCAGGCGGUUAGAUAAGUCUGAAGUUAAAGGCUGUGGCUUAACCAUAGUACGCUUUGGAAACUGUUUAACUUGAGUGCAAGAGGGGAGAGUGGAAUUCCAUGUGUAGCGGUGAAAUGCGUAGAUAUAUGGAGGAACACCGGUGGCGAAAGCGGCUCUCUGGCUUGUAACUGACGCUGAGGCUCGAAAGCGUGGGGAGCAAACAGGAUUAGAUACCCUGGUAGUCCACGCCGUAACGAUGAGUGCUAGGUGUUGGAUCCUUUCCGGGAUUCAGUGCCGCAGCUAACGCAUUAAGCACUCCGCCUGGGGAGUACGACCGCAAGGUUG
rnacentral:rRNA from 1 species